GACGUAGGGCGCGAGCGUUGUCCGGAUUUAUUGGGCGUAAAGAGCUCGUAGGCGGCUUGUCGCGUCGACUGUGAAAUCCCGCGGCUCAACCGCGGGUCUGCAGUCGAUACGGGCAGGCUAGAGUUCGGUAGGGGAGAUCGGAAUUCCUGGUGUAGCGGUGAAAUGCGCAGAUAUCAGGAGGAACACCGGUGGCGAAGGCGGGUCUCUGGGCCGAUACUGACGCUGAGGAGCGAAAGCGUGGGGGAGCGAACAGG
rnacentral:rRNA from 1 species